ensembl:lncRNA
GUUCUCCCUUGCUGUGAGAAGCCUUUCCUUCGUGCUGACACAGCAUUUGUACAGUGCUCUGGAUCAGGAACUAAUCCAGACUAACAGCCAGUUUUUUGCUUGCCUGGCACCAGAAAGUGAGGGCUGCCUUCCUUCUACCCUGCACUUUAUACAGACCUGCCAGUACAAUGCUGUUUGGGCUUCAGCAUCUUGUCUUCCUGUGUUUCUCAGUGACUUGAGAGUGCACAGCACUGAGAUUUCAGCUGCACCUGACCCCGGAAUUUCACUCUGUUGGACGUGGUGGAACUCAGCAAUUAUUUUACAAGGAAGGAAACGUUGCCAUGCAGCAUCUCACCAGGCCAAACCGCAGCUGGAGCUCUUCCCUUGCACAUCAGAGCGGCUGCCGGGAGGUGGAGCACCGCACCCGCUGCACAUCGUCACCGAGCACCAACCGAGAGCUUCCAGAUCGUCCCCCGCUCCAGCCAGGCUGACCCUAAGCCUCCAUCCACACAAGGUCAGCUGCUUGCUGCCAGCAAAUUAAGCAGAAGGCGUUGCUGCUGGUGUUGCUCAUUACUACCAUUGGUGCAGGUGGGCUCUCUGUUUGCUGGCUGCAGACGUGGGCUGCGCUGCUCUAGCCAAAAGAUGCCUACAGCUUGUUGGAGAAGUGCAGAAGCUCUAGGGGCAAAGCAC